UACAGAGGGGGCAAGCGUUGUUCGGAAUUACUGGGCGUAAAGGGCGCGUAGGCGGCCCUCUAAGUCAGACGUGAAAUCCCUCGGCUCAACCGGGGAACUGCGUCUGAGACUGGGGGGCUUGAAUCCGGGAGAGGGAUGUGGAAUUCCAGGUGUAGCGGUGAAAUGCGUAGAUAUCUGGAGGAACACCGGUGGCGAAGGCGGCAUCCUGGACCGGUAUUGACGCUGAGGCGCGAAAGCCAGGGG
rnacentral:rRNA from 1 species